GACGAACGCUGGCGGCGUGCUUAACACAUGCAAGUCGAACGGAAAGGCCCCUUUGGGGGUACUCGAGUGGCGAACGGGUGAGUAACACGUGAGUAACCUGCCCUUGACUUCGGGAUAACUUCAGGAAACUGGGGCUAAUACCGGAUAGGAAUCCUUGCUGCAUGGUGGGGGUUGGAAAGCUUCGGCGGUUUUGGAUGGACUCGCGGCUUAUCAGCUUGUUGGUGGGGUAGUGGCUUACCAAGGCUUUGACGGGUAGCCGGCCUGAGAGGGCGACCGGCCACAUUGGGACUGAGAUACGGCCCAGACUCCUACGGGAGGCAGCAGUGGGGAAUAUUGUACAAUGGGCGGAAGCCUGAUGCAGCAACGCCGCGUGCGGGAUGACGGCCUUCGGGUUGUAAACCGCUUUCAGCAGGGGCGAAGCUUGUGGUGACGGUACCUGCAGAAGAAGCACCGGCUAACUACGUG
rnacentral:rRNA from 1 species